rnacentral:rRNA from 1 species
CCUACGGGUGGCAGCAGUGAGGAAUAUUGGUCAAUGGACGGAAGUCUGAACCAGCCAAGCCGCGUGAAGGAUGAAGGUUCUAUGAGUUGUAAACUGCUUUUGUACAAGGGUAAACCUGAAGACGUGUAUUGAGCUGAAAGUACUGUACGAAUAAGGAUCGGCUAACUCCGUGCCAGCAGCCGCGGUAAUACGGAGGAUCCGAGCGUUAUCCGGAUUUAUUGGGUUUAAAGGGUGCGUAGGCGGAUUGUUAAGUUAGAGGUGAAAUGUCCGGGCUUAACCCGGGAACUGCCGCUGAUACUGUUAGUCUAGAGAGUGUAUGCGGUAGGCGGAAUGUAUGGUGUAGCGGUGAAAUGCUUAGAUAUCAUACAGAACACCGAUUGCGAAGGCAGCUUCCCAAUCUAUAUCUGACGUUGAGGCACGAAAGCGUGGGGAGCAAACAGGAUUAGAUACCCCAGUAGUC